CUUCCACUGAAGUUCCAGGUUUGUUCAACCGCGUUUGUCUGGUUCUGUGUGCAGAGUCAAGGGAAGACGGGUUCGGACCGGCCCACGCAGAGACCCAAGAAGUCCAAGGACAGCAAACCCAAGGUGAAGAAGCUGAAGUACCAUCAGUACAUCCCUCCGGACCAGAAGGCGGACAAAGAGCGCCCUCCUCAGAUGGACUCCUCCUACGCCAAGCUGCUGCAGCAGCAGCAGCUCUUCCUGCAGCUGCAGAUCCUCUGCCAGCAGCAGCAGCACUACAACUACCACACCAUCCUGCCGGCGCCGCCCAAGUGAGUCGGACACGCCUCCCUGCGUGGCGCCGGGCCGUAAGCGGAAGUUUUUCACCGGUUCUGUUUCCUCUCAGGCCACAAAACGAGCAGACUUCCACCGCCGCUUCAGGCCCCUCCCCCUCCCGCGGCGCCCUCGCCGCAACCCCCAAUCAGAGCGCCACGGCCCGCCAGGCCCAAACUGCAAUGGGAGGAGCCAAGCCAGCCGCCCUGCCGGCCAACCUGGACGAGUUUAAGGUCAAAACUGCCCGAGCGGCCCGUCAUCAUCGGUUCUGACUCGGUUCAGUCUGUUCUUUUGGGCUAAUUUGGCAUCUACUGAUAUUUUUUAUGCUAAUUUGGAGUUUUGCUAAUAUUUUAGCAACAUGCUAACGGUUUUGAUUAAUUCAGUUUACCGAGGAAUUUUAGGGGAUUUUAGAGUUUAGCUAAUAUUUUAGCAACACGCUAACAUUUUAGGCUAAUUUGUAAUCUACUGAUCUAAUUCGGAGUUUAGCUAGUUUUCUAAGCAACAUGCUAGCUUUUUUGGCUAAUUUGGCAUCUACUGAGGUUUUUUUAUGCUAAUUUGGAGUUUAACUAAUAUUUUAACAACACGCUAACAUUUUUGGCUAAUUUGUAAUCUACUGAUCUAUUUUGGAGUUCAGCUAAUAUUUAAGCAACAUACUAGCUUUUUUGGCUAAUUUGGCAUCUACUGAGUUUUUUUAUUCUAAUUUGGAGUUUAGCUAAUAUUUUAGCAACACGCUAACAUUUUUUGGCUUAUUUGUUAUCUACUGAUCUAAUUCAGAGUUUAGCUAGUGUUUAGGCAACAUGCUAGGUUUUUUGGCUAAUUUGGCAUCUACUGAGGUUUUUUAUGCUAAUUUGGAGUUUUGCUAAUAUUUUAGAGACAUGCUAACGACUUUGGCUAAUGCGUUAUCUUCUGAAGUUUCUAUAGGAUAAUUUAGAGUUUAGCUUCUAUUUUAGCAAAAUGCUAACGUUGUUGAUUAAUUCAGUUUACUGAGGAAUUUUAGGGGAUUUUAGAGUUUAGCUAAUAUUAUAGCAACACACUAACAUUUUAGGCUAAUUUGUUAUCUACUGAUCUAAUUUGGAGUUUAGCUAGUUUUCUAAGCAACGUGCUAGCUUUUUUGGAUAAUUUGGCAUCUACUGAGUUUUUUUAUUCUAAUUUGGAGUUUAGCUAAUAUUUUAGCAACACGCUAACAUUUUUUGGCUUAUUUGUUAUUUACUGAUCUAAUUUGGAGUUUAGCUAGUGUUUAAGCAACAUGCUAGGUUUUUUGGCUAAUUUGACAUCUACUGAUAUUUUUUAUGCUAAUUUCAAGUUUUGCUAAUAUUUUAAAGACAUGCUAACGAUUUCAGCUAAUGUGUUAUUUUCUGAGGUUUCUAAAAGGCUAAUUUAGAGUUUAGCUUCUAUUUUAGCAAAAUGCUAACAUUGUUGAUUAAUUCAGUUUACUGAGGAAUUUUAGGGGAUUUUAAAGUAACAAGCUAGCUUUUUUGGCUAAUUUGGCAUCUACUGAGUUUUUUUAUGCUAAUUUGGAGUUUAACUAAUAUUUUAGCAACACGCCACAUUUUUGGCUAAUUUGUUAUCUACUGAUCUAAUUUGGAGUUUAGCUAGUUUCCUAAGCAACGUGCUAGCUUUUUUGGCUAAUUUGGCAUCUACUGAGGUUUUUUAUUCUAAUUUGGAGUUUAGCUAAUAUUUUAGCAACACGCUA
rnacentral:lncRNA from 1 species